CAUAAUUGUAAAUAUAAAUUGUUGAGGAUUUUAUUUAUCAACCCAUCUUUUCUGAAUGCACAAUCAUAGUCGGAAAAGCCGAUCAGAACAUAAAUAGUGUACAAGCGGACAGUGACACAAAACGGAAGUUGCUGAUCUGUCCGACGGCGAUCGGCUCGUUGUUUUUCAAAAAAAUAUAGAAUAUCAACACAAAGUGUCCCAUAAUGGAUUGUUCAGCAGCUCAAGAUAUACAUGAUGAGUACUAGUAAUCCUUAUAGUUGUACAACAUGCUUGUUUUCGUGCAAAAUAUUUUCCGAAAUAAUAGACCACAAUAUAAUUCGCCAUCCGGAACAAACACUUAAAAUAAAGGUUUAUAUUCAAAAUAAAUGCAUUCUUCAGACGAAAAACUUUUGUGUUAUACCAAACCAACUACAAAAGGAUGGUUAUUACAUACAUAGUGACAAUUAUAAGGAAACUCUUAAUAUAGGAAAAACAUGUGAUCUUUUGAAAACAGCAAGCACUCUUUUUGAAAUUGAAAAUGAUAACUCGCAUGAAAUUGGAAGCCCAGUUGCCAAAAGACAAAAAAUCUCCACAUCAACACCCCGCAAAUCUGAUAUUUCUCAUGACCUCAAGGAACAGACAGACGAGGAAAUGGAAACUGAAGGAGACAAGAAUAAAUCAUUUUUCGAUAUCGAUGCAGAUCUGUCGAGAGAACUUUUGGAUCUUUCUAUAUCGGAUGACAAUUACAUUGACUCUGAUAUUGAAGAAAUGCGGCAAUUGCUGCCAAUACUUUUUGAAAAAAUUAAAACAGUAAAUCAAAAAUAUAAUUGACGGACGGACGGACGGACGGAGUGAAUGACGAAGUAUAGCGGUUACGAGACUUUCUUUCACUUCGAUGACGCAGGUUACAAUCAAGAUAUUGAUUUAGAUAUGGUCAUAAAAGAUUUACUUAAAGCAUAUGACCAAUAAGAGGCGGAUCCAGAUUUUAUAAAAUAAAAGGGGUCCCACUAAUGUUUGCAUCAAGAAUGGAGGAGCGGACACAAAACAAGUUGACUCGCAAUCUCUGUAAAUUUUAAAUGAAAUUAAAACCGAUAAGGAUGGCCUGGGGGCCCACGCCCGUUUUUGUUCAGCUUAUGCCAUGUUCGUAUACGGCGUGUAAUGUUUAGAACAUAAUAAUAUUUGAUAACUUCAUUGAUUUAUAUUUGAUCAAUCGUUCAGCAUAAUUAUCAAAGCAUUUAUAUGUAUUUUUAUCACACAUUUUGAACUGAUAUGUAUGCUUUUGCAUGGUCAGAUAAAGCAGGAAGUUAAAGUUGGCUAUUUUCCAAUAUCCAUAUCAGCCCCCGAAAAUCCAUAUCAGCCCCUGAAAAUUGAUAUCAGCCCUUGAAAUCGAUAUCAGCCUUUGAAAAUCGAUAUCAGCCCUUGAGAAUCGAUAUUAGCUUUUGAAAAUCCAUAUCAGCCCCAGUAAACUUGGAAAUAUGUGAUAAAUAGAUCAUGACAUGUCAUUUUACAUAUCGGCCCUGGUUUCAGCCUUCGACCCAUAUCAAGCCCUCGGGCUAAAGCUCUCUGGCUUGAUAUGGAAGUCUAGGGCUGAUACCAGGGUUGAUAUGGAAAAUGCCAUGUAAUAAUUUAAAAUUAUCGUGUCCUUUUCUUCACAGACAUUUCAAAAGGAAAAUACGCUCUUACUUUGCAUCCGUGAUCAGACUUUAACAUUUCGAUCAUAAUGUAUACUAUAACAUAGAUGUAAUCGUAGGUACAUGGGGACGGGUAUUUUUUGCCCCAUAUUUUCCAUAUUUGUUUAUUUCACUGAUAUUCGUGUUUUUUAAACUUACAAAAAUAUAAUUCAGGAGCGGAUCCAGAAAUUGUUAAGAGAGAAUUCAUACCCAGAUGAAAGAUUAAAAAAAAAGUAACUAGGGUUCCCAACCCCGGACCCCCGACCGCCUGGAUCCGCAACUGCCUAAGCGAUUACAAAUACAUGUAUUAAGUAACGUGAAUGUAUUCAUAUUAAUUUAUUUAAUCGAUGAUUUGUACAUAUAAGAAUUGAAUAAUAACUCAUACAGAAUAAAUGCAAGUUAUGAUAAAAAAUUUAACAAGAAAGGCUUCACCGCAUACUUCAUGUUAAAUGUGUGUAUAUAAGUAUUCUUACCUCUACUAAGGCAAUAGGAAAACAAACUCAUGGACCAUUCAAGUACACCGUAACUUUUCAAUUGAUUCUUUUUGACUUGAAUCCCAAGCCAUGAGAUUUGUUUGAUUAUUGGUGAAAUAAGACGCAAACUGGGUGUAAAAAACUAUUGUUUUGAUUUUCUGUGUCAAACGUUUAUAAAUAUAAAAAAAAAGAUUUGGUGUAAUUGCCAAUGAGACAACUCUAAACAAGAGAACAAAUUAAAUGACACAGAAAUGAACAACUAUAGGUCACCGUACGGCCUUCAACAAUGAGCAAAGCCCAUACCGCAUAGUCAGCUAUAAAAGGCCUAGAAAUAACUUUUGUUGCAUGGUUGUAUUUUUCAUGAAAAGUUAUUACCCCUAUUUAUGUUUUUAAGUGAUAAAAAUAACAAUGUUCCACAUGAAUGUAUGAAUAAAUAUACCAUAAAAAUCACCUACGUGCCCCAUUUUCCUAAAACAAACUAGAGAAACGUAUAUUAAAUUUUCAUGUGCAUGCAUUAACAAUGCUUUUUAUAUGUAAUAAUCAGUAACAUUUUAUAAAUGUUGAUAUUUCCUAGGAAAUCGGUCAUGAAUGUGGAUAAAUUGCAUGUUUCAAUCUUACUUUUGCUUAAGAUAUCGAUCAUGAAUAUGACCAACGAAUCGGACAGUAUGAAAACAUACGGUGGCAACGAGGCGGACAGUACACUUUGAAUAGAAAAGAUUCAAUUGUGACAAUAUAAUAAAAAAAAAAUGAACCAAACUUUUGUGUGUGUAUGCGGAAUAUGAUUAUUCAACUAUGUAUCGAUUAAAAAUCUUGAAAAUGUU